UUUAAUUGAAGAGUUUGAUCAUGGCUCAGAUUGAACGCUGGCGGCAGGCCUAACACAUG
rnacentral:rRNA from 2 species